rnacentral:lncRNA from 1 species
AUACUAUAUAGGGAAUCACUGACUUGAAAGACCCCCACCCACCUUAGGUCAGUCAGCACCCUGUCAUGUAUUUGUUAAAAGAAAAAAAAUAUAUUGCCAUUCACUCUAAAAACGAAGCUAAAUACUUAAACCCUCUUUUAAGAAAAGUUAUAUUGUUUCAUUUUUACAAUUUAUUUUCAAUAGCUUAAGAUUAAAAGCGCCGACAGCAAGUGUUUAGCUCGGUUGGUAUAGGCGGAUCCAGUUGGGGGGGGGGGGGUCCCCCUUUCGUGGGAUUUUUUUAUUGAUUAUAUACUAUAUAAGGAUUCACUGACUUGAGAGACCUCCCACUUUAGGUCAGGCAGCACC